CAUCUCAUCUGGAAGGAGAGAUGGCUUAAAGGGGUACGCGGGCUUCUUCUGCGUAUUCGCUCCAGGAUGGGACUGCGUCCGAUCAGGCUGUUGGCGGGGUAAUGGCCCACCAAACCUGUAACCGGUACGGGCCUUGAGAGAGGUGGCCCGGAGAUGGACACUGAGAGAAGGGUCCAGGUCCUACGGGGCGCAUCAGGCGCGAAACCUUCGCAAUGCGCGAAAGCGUGACGAGGUUAAUCCGAGUGGCCCCCGCUGAGGGGGUCUUUUGUCAGCUGUAAAUAGGCGGGCGAAUAAGGGGAGGGCAAGCCUGGUGUCAGCCGCCGCGGUAAUACCAGCUCCUCGAGUGGUCGGGGCGAUUAUUGGGCCUAAAGCAUCCGUAGCCGGUUCCGUAGGUCCUCUGUUAAAUCCACCCGCUUAACGGGUGACCUGCAGAGGAUACCGCGGGACUAGGAGGCGGGAGAGGCGGACGGUACUCCGCGUGUAGGGGUAAAAUCCUUUGAUCCGCGGAAGA
rnacentral:rRNA from 1 species